rnacentral:miRNA from 15 species
UGUGUGGCGAAGGGCGGUUGACAGAAGAGAGUGAGCACGCAUCGGGUUGAAAUGGCACAAGACGGUGCUGUUUCCGCUGCGUGCUUACUUCUCUUCCUGUCAGUCAGCGUUUGUUGUACU